AGAGGUGGCAAGCGUUGUUCGGAUUUAUUGGGUGUAAAGGGCAGGUAGGUGGUCGGGUAAGUCUGACGUGAAAUCCCACGGCUCAACCGUGGAACUGCGUUGGAAACUGCCUGACUUGAGUAUCGGAGAGGUGUAGGGAAUUCUCGGUGUAAGGGUGAAAUCUGUAGAUAUCGAGAGGAACACCAGUGGCGAAGGCGCUACACUGGCCGAUUACUGACGCUGAGCUGCGAAAGCAAGGGGAGCAAACAGGAUUAGAUACCCUGGUAGUCCUUGCCGUAAACGAUGUGGAUUAGGUAUCAGGGGUGUCGAUCCCCCUGGCGCCGACGCUAACGCAUUAAAUCCACCACCUGGGGAGUACGGUCGCAAGACUG
rnacentral:rRNA from 1 species